rnacentral:rRNA from 1 species
GAUGAACGCUGGCGGCGUGCCUAAUACAUGCAAGUCGAGCGAACAGACGAGGAGCUUGCUCCUCUGACGUUAGCGGCGGACGGGUGAGUAACACUUGGAUAACCUACCUUUAAGACUGGGUUACCUUCGGGAACCCGGAGCUAAUCCCGGAUAAUAUUUUGAACCGCAUGGUUCAAUAUUGAAAGACGGUUUUCCUUUCACUUAUAGAUGGAUCCGCGCCGCUUUAGCUAGUUGGUAAGGUACCGCCUUACCAAGGCAACGAUGCGUAGCCGACCUGAGAGGGUGAUCGGACACACUGGAACUGAGACACGGUCCAGACUCCUACGGGAGGCAGCAGUAGGGAAUCUUCCGCAAUGGGCGAAAGCCUGACGGAGCAACGCCGCGUGAGUGAUGAAGGUCUUCGGAUCGUAAAACUCUGUUAUUAGGGAAGAACAAAUGUGUAAGUAACUAUGCACGUCUUGACGGUACCUAAUCAGAAAGCCACGGCUAACUACGUG